AUGGCCUCCACUCCAUCCACCUCCGCGCUCUCCGCCGUCCUCCGGUGUCGGGGGAAGCUCUGGGCCCGGAACCCGCAGACCAAGCGGCCACAGGCGGCCUACGGACUCCGAGUCCCCGGAGCAGUACUGCGAGAAGCUCCGACCACACCAUGGGAGUCUUUCCGCCGCGGGGAGCGGGUGUUGGUGGCCGGGGGGCUGGAGCUAGAGUACCGGACUAGAACAGACUCUCACUGCGGGCCUAGGGUGAGGGAGUCCCCGGAGAGGGAGCCUCUGCUCCGGCUCAGCCCCGCUCUGAGCGGACCAACCCCAGGACUUCACUGGGGACACCGGACCGGACCCGGAUCUGCUGCGGGGGUCCUGAAGCUCACCGUCAGGUCCAAGUCCUGGUCCUGGUUCUCGGUUCAGGAUGCGGGUCGCUCCCAGUGGACGGUCCGAGGUGGAUGGUCCGGGCUGCGGGGCUCCCUGCUCUCUCUGACGGCCCUGGUGUCCUCCAUCCUCUCGGUGAGUCCAGCACUGGGAUCUGGACCCGGUAGACCCGAGGAUGGAGCUCCGUUCUCCAGCAUCCAGAACCAGGCUCAGCAGAUAAACACUUUGACUUCCUUCUCUGAUGAGACGAGCUGCAGGAGGAUCACUGAGGACCGACCCGACUGAGAAGAGUGUCCAAGGCCUCGACACACACACACACACACACACACACACUCACGCACACACGCACACACACUCACGCACACACACACACGCACACACGCACACACACUCACGCACACACACACACACACACGCACAUGCACACACACACUCACGCACACACACACACACGCACACACACACACACACACACGCACACACACACACACACACACACACACACACACACAGUCUGUAUUUACCGUCACUGUGUUUCUUUCACAAUCGAUGGACUUCAACCUGCUCAAAUACAGAAGAAACCUUCAUGAAUCAGAGACGAUCAUGUUUGACUGGAUCCUGCACGUUUGCACAGAUGCAGUAAAUAUGUGAAAUAAAUACUACUUUGAAUUGGUUGGUCCUCUUUGU
rnacentral:lncRNA from 1 species